rnacentral:rRNA from 1 species
CAGCCGCCGCGGUAAUACGGAGGGGGCUAGCGUUGUUCGGAAUUACUGGGCGUAAAGCGCACGCAGGCGGCUUGGUAAGUUAGAGGUGAAAGCCUGGAGCUCAACUCCAGAAUUGCCUUUAAGACUGCCGAGCUAGCAGGUGAGAGAGGUAAGUGGAAUUCCGAGUGUAGAGGUGAAAUUCGUAGAUAUUCGGAAGAACACCAGUGGCGAAGGCGGCUCACUGGACGCGUACUGACGCUGAGGUGCGAAAGCGUGGGGAGCAAACAGGAUUAGAUACCCCAGUAGUCCCUGUCUCUUAUAC